AACACGUGGGAACGUGCCUUUUGGUUCGGAACAACUCAGGGAAACUUGAGCUAAUACCGAAUGUGCCCUUCGGGGGAAAGAUUUAUCGCCAUUAGAGCGGCCCGCGUCUGAUUAGCUUGUUGGUGAGGUAAAGGCUCACCAAGGCGACGAUCAGUAGCUGGUCUGAGAGGAUGAUCAGCCACAUUGGGACUGAGACACGGCCCAAACUCCUACGGGAGGCAGCAGUGGGGAAUCUUGCGCAAUGGGCGAAAGCCUGACGCAGCCAUGCCGCGUGAAUGAUGAAGGUCUUAGGAUUGUAAAAUUCUUUCACCGGGGACGAUAAUGACGGUACCCGGAGAAGAAGCCCCGGCUAACUUCGUGCCAGCAGCCGCGGUAAUACGAAGGGGGCUAGCGUUGCUCGGAAUUACUGGGCGUAAAGGGAGCGUAGGCGGAUAGUUUAGUCAGAGGUGAAAGCCCAGGGCUCAACCUUGGAAUUGCCUUUGAUACUGGCUAUCUUGAGUGUGGGAGAGGUAUGUGGAACUCCGAGUGUAGAGGUGAAAUUCGUAGAUAUUCGGAAGAACACCAGUGGCGAAGGCGACAUACUGGCCCAUUACUGACGCUGAGGCUCGAAAGCGUGGGGAGCAAACAGGAUUAGAUACCCUGGUAGUCCACGCUGUAAAC
rnacentral:rRNA from 1 species